GUUAACACGGGGCCAGCAGCCGCGGUAAGCCGUAGGGGGCAAGCGUUGUCCGGGUUUAUUGGGCGUAAAGCGGGCGCAGGCGGUUUCUUAGGUCUGAUGUGAAAGCCUUCGGCUUAACCGGAGAAGUGCAUCGGAAACCAGGAGACUUGAGUGCAGAAGAGGACAGUGGAACUCCAUGUGUAGCGGUGAAAUGCGUAGAUAUAUGGAAGAACACCAGUGGCGAAGGCGGCUGUCUGGUCUGUAACUGACGCUGAGGCGCGAAAGCGUGGGGAGCAAACAGGAUUAGAUACCCCGGUAGUC
rnacentral:rRNA from 1 species